rnacentral:lncRNA from 1 species
UGGAGGAACUUUCAAAGCCCAGGAACACAUGCUGUCAGAGUGGUGACAUCAUGGCCCCUGCAGUCCUCUAAACUGCUGAAAACUGGUGCCUUUGUGAACACAAAUCAGGGCAACUUGGAGUUUCUGUGCUGGAAGGACGGCUUCAAAGGAGCUCAUCGUGGCCAGAAAAAUGCAGGAGGAUGAAGAGGAGGUGAAUCUGGGAGGCAGACAGGAACAAUCAACUAAACAAAUACAGGAUGUCAGCCUGUGUGAAGUGUAGCAGAGGGCGUGCAAAGACAUCGCUCUGCCCUCGGGCUUCUGA